AUUGAACGCUGGCGGCAGGCUUAACACAUGCAAGUCGAGCGGGGUGAUGGUGCUUGCACUAUCACUUAGCGGCGGACGGGUGAGUAAUGCUUAGGAAUCUGCCUAUUAGUGGGGGACAACAUCUCGAAAGGGAUGCUAAUACCGCAUACGUCCUACGGGAGAAAGCAGGGGAUCACUUGUGACCUUGCGCUAAUAGAUGAGCCUAAGGCGGAUUAGGUAGUUGGUGGGGUAAAGGCCUACCAAGGGGACGAUCUGUAGCGGGUCUGAGAGGAUGAUCCGCCACACUGGGACUGAGACACGGCCCAGACUCCUACGGGAGGCAGCAGUGGGGAAUAUUGGACAAUGGGGGGAACCCUGAUCCAGCCAUGCCGCGUGUGUGAAGAAGGCCUUAUGGUUGUAAAGCACUUUAAGCGAGGAGGAGGCUCUUUUGGUUAAUACCCAAGAUGAGUGGACGUUACUCGCAGAAUAAGCACCGGCUAACUCUGUGCCAGCAGCCGCCGUAA
rnacentral:rRNA from 1 species